rnacentral:rRNA from 1 species
GACGAACGCUGGCGGCGUGCUUAACACAUGCAAGUCGAACGGAAAGGCCCUGCUUUUGUGGGGUGCUCGAGUGGCGAACGGGUGAGUAACACGUGAGUAACCUGCCCUUGACUUUGGGAUAACUUCAGGAAACUGGGGCUAAUACCGGAUAGGAGCUCCUGCUGCAUGGUGGGGGUUGGAAAGUUUCGGCGGUUGGGGAUGGACUCGCGGCUUAUCAGCUUGUUGGGGGGGUAGUGGCUUACCAAGGCUUUGACGGGUAGCCGGCCUGAGAGGGUGACCGGCCACAUUGGGACUGAGAUACGGCCCAGACUCCUACGGGAGGCAGCAGUGGGGAAUAUUGCACAAUGGGCGGAAGCCUGAUGCAGCAACGCCGCGUGCGGGAUGACGGCCUUCGGUUUGUAAACCGCUUUCGCCUGUGACGAAGCGUGAGUGACGGUAAUGGGUAAAGAAGCACCGGCUAACUACGUG